rnacentral:tRNA from 1 species
GGGCACAUGGUGUAGUUGGUUUAUCACGUUCGCUUCGCACUUCGGCGGCUUUGCGAAAGGUGUCCGGUUCAAUUCCGGAUGUGUCCA